UUGCCAUUUAUAAAGAAUUUUGUUUUCUAACUUGUUAAAAUUAACAUUUUUUUUAAUUUAUUUAUUUUAUGUAUAUGAGUAUACUAUAGCUGUCUUCACACACACCCAGAAGAGGGCAUCGGAUUCCAUUAUAGAUCAUUGUGAGCCAUCAUGUGGUUGCUUGGAAUUGAACUCAGGACAUUUGGAAGAGCAGCCAGUGCUCUUAACCCCUGAGCUAUCUCUCCAGCCCUAUUAUUAAUAUUUUUUAAUAUAGACUAUUAUGAGCCAAGUUUAUUUCCCAUCUACUUUUUCUAUUAAAAUACUAAGUUUUAUACUUUCUAUCUACAAAAUAUUUCUUCCAUUCUUUUUUGUGGAAAAGUUUAAGAUUACUUAGUUGUUUAAUGAUCAAAUAUUUUACAAUAGUCUAAAAGAGCCUGAUCUGAACUGUUCUCAGUACAGUUACUCUACGUCUCAGCUAAGAGUCUGCUUGUUCCAACUCUACAUAAACAAUUUUAAAUACCUUUUAUUCCAGACUUCUCUUACUUAAUUCCCACUGUAUUCUAAUUUCAGUGUAACUUAAUUUAUUUUAAGAGGUCUAGAAAUAUAGAAAUUUAUUUUAAGAGAUCUAAAAUAACCUAGAUUAAGAGAUCUAUUCUAAGAGUUUAGAAAACGAGAGACAUAAAUAUAAGCUUUCUACAAGAGAAGAAAUGUAACUUUCACUUCCUUCCAUAUGCUUGGUUAAUUGUUCACCUUAGAUUGUGUUUCAUGAGACCACACUAUUAUCCUAUGUACACAACAGAGUCUAAUGCAGAAUAGUUAGACUGGAUUUAACCUUAUCUUUGCAUAAUGACUUGACAUAAUCUAAGCUCCACCACAUGAACUAAUCAAAAUUGUAUAAUAUCUCUUUAAUUUUUGACCAUUGGAUGACUUUACAGUAUGAUAGUAAUUAAACUGCAGGAUCAGAGUUUAGAUAUAGGUCAUUAAGAAAGUCUUACAGCCACUGUUAAACACAAGUGGACAGAGGGCACUUGGGGCAGAAAUGAGGAGAUUGUUGUGAUUGUCUUGUAUCCAGGAUGAAAGCUUUGUACAAAGAGUGUUCAACAUCAUAGGCUAUAGAUCUUCCAUUUGUUCAGUGUAGGACUGUUCUGAUAGAACUAGUUAGGUAAAUGUUUCCAUGUACUAAGCUCACUGUUGAUAGACUAUCAAUUCAAAUACGUAUAUGAGUGACUUUCAAAAAUACGUCAGAAUUUAAAAUGGAUUGCCAAAAUCUUCUCUUUCGGAUUCUUCAAUGUUAAAGCGCAUAUUCCUGAUGAUAACUAUUUGAAUAAAGAUAAUAGUUCUCAAUUAGUAGAGAUUAAUAGAAGCUUAAUUUUAAUUAAAGUAGAAUUUGGUGAUAUACCGUAUUUUCAAAAACAAACCUGCAUAAAACAGUAGUAGAGAGUGCUUUUAAUAUUCCUUUCCUCGUGUUGUAUGUUUGCCCUUGUAUUGCUUUUUGUUAAUGUAGAAAGUGACAUUUUGUUCAUCCAUUUAAUUUGUAGUUUUCACAUAGACAAGAGAAAAAACAUACAUAUGUAUUCUGAAGUGUCUAACCUAUUUUAAGGUGUCAUCUCGGUAUUUUGAAUGUGUAUCUUAGAAGGGGAAUAUCAGACAUAAUAAUAGUAUACUAUUAUUUGGUAUAUCCAGUGGCCUAGCCACUAAUAUGGGUACUUUUCAAAUGAGUCUAUGACCAAACUUUGGAAUGAUGUUUUGUUUUAGGGGGGAGCAGGAUGUUAAUGUAGUUCAGGCCUUGAUUUUGCAGUGUGGCCAAGGCUGAUCUUGAAUUCUCCCUUCCAAAGCAUUGGGAUUAUAGGAGUGUGCCACCAUUCGCAGCCUUCUGGUAAUUUCUUUUCUUGAGAUUUCAUUAUGAUUUUUUUUUUUUUGGUUUGGGUGGGUAGGGAAUGUCCUUUGUGAAAAUAAAGUAGUAGAUAUAUAUC
rnacentral:lncRNA from 1 species